AUACGGAGGGUGCAAGCGUUACUGGGAAUCACUGGGCGUAAAGCGCGCGCAGGCGGUCUUUUAAGUUGGAUGUGAAAGCCUACGGCUCAACCGUAGAACUGCAUCCAAAACUAUUAGACUAGAGUGUGGGAGAGGAAGAUGGAAUUAGUUGUGUAGGGGUAAAAUCCGUAGAGAUAACUAGGAAUACCAAAAGCGAAGGCAAUCUUCUGGAACACUACUGACGCUGAGGCGCGAAAGCGUGGGGAGCAAACAGGAUUAGAUACCCUAGUAGUCC
rnacentral:rRNA from 1 species